ACCCAUGUAUUUGCAUAUUUCCGAAUAGGGAGCCUCCUCUGAAGUGCAUGUGUGCAAUAACUCAAUUUGCCCUUGCAGUCCAAAACAAAACAAAAAUUGAAACUAUGGCAAAGGGUAAAGUCUACAAAACUUUGUCCAUAACAGUUUACGGUUGUGGGAACAGGAAACUGUAUUGCGAUCAAAUGUUUCAUCGAUGAGAAAAUUAGCCGAAUUUCGGUCAAAAUCCAUCUUCUCCCACUGCCGGCCACUGCUGGACUUCCUCUCAUCACCAUAUUUGGUGGUGAGUGGAAACGCCAACCAAAUGCUUCAGAUGUAUACAUCCGGUGAAACAUCUGGCUCAUUGUUCCAUCUGUGGCGUAAAGGUCUCUCUCUCACCCCAGUCAAGUGGAGGUAUUAGUAACGCACACAAAUCUGUCUUCUCUGUAGGUGUUCCCCUUGGACUCUAGCUGCUCUCGGAGGAGGUGGGUGGUGCAGUGGAGGAUGACCUCCGUCUGGACACAGACUGCGAUCGCUCAGGGCUGUGUUUGUUGUACGGCUGGAGCUGCACCUCCAGGAAGUCCCUGUGCUGCUGGCUGAUGACCUGGCUGAUGAGUCCUGGCAGGGCCUGCAGGUUCCCCAGCAAAGUCUCCAGCUUGGUCUCCAGCAGGGCGAUCCUCUUCUCCAUGUCCUCCCCUCUCUCGUUCAGGUCUGAGAUCAGGUCAUACAUGAUGUUCUGAGUCUGGAGGAGGAGAGACACUCGGUCAUAGUAAGAGGGCGAGACCCUUCCAGAGCAUGGGGUGCUUUAGGCUAGCAGUUGCAGGCAAUUCUACAAUUAUUUUGUAUAUUUUAAUAACCUUUAUUUACACAGGCAAGUCAAUAAAUAAGAACAAAUUCUUAUUUACAAUGGCAAUCUGUCCAGAGCCAGUUGAGGGGCAAAUCCUCAUUUAGUCACAUUUUCACUUAGUCAUGGAUGUCAAAAGGCUAAGUGAAAGUUUGACUGAAAUGGAAGUUAUGAGUUGCCCCUUAGUUGAAAAGAACCAGCAUGAAAUGUAUACUUCUUAAAAGGAACAGCUUGUGAAUAAUUUGAUUAUCAGUUGCAUCAUUCUAAGUAUCUAAUCAUGCUACUGUUUCCCACUACAACACUAAACUGUUCCCUGGAGAUGUAGAUUUGUUUUCAGAUUAUUAGUCUGCCCUCCAUGGCAGACCUGAACUCAGUCUGCAGCUAUUCUCAGUGCUACAACUGUCUCUGUCUUUUCAACCAUCUUGAAAAAGUGUUAACUCACAGCAGAAUCAAUGUAGACAUAAAUAUAAUAAAGUGUCUGGAAACGGGCAAUUCAAAUUUCACAGAUCUCCAUCACAACAAACAAAACCUGAUGCUGUAGAUAAGCAAAUAAAAUAUUCAUUGAUAACUUGCAGAGAAAUUCUGCUGUAUACACUUACUAACUUCUGCACCAGGAAGUUGAUCUUCUUCCUCUCGACACAUGGCAUGUUAUCAAACAGUGAGAUAUCCAGUUCCGAGGGGGCUGCUGUGUACUGAGCUAAUGUUCACCAUGAGAACAAUCGCUGCCAGCAUGUGACCAAUGAUCCAUCCAUCCAUCACUUACCUUGUCCUUUCCUCAUUUGGGGUAGGAAUAAUGGGCAGGGUGGCUUGUUUAGAAUCACAGCGAUCCACCUCGGGCCAAAACAACACUGACAGCUUUUCACCACCCUGGCGCUCCAACUUGGGCGGGCAGAUAGGGUUUCACUACGUAUUUUAAAAGGCAAUUUCCACAGAUGAUCAAGGAUUUUAGAAUUGACAGGGUUAGAGGCUUUAAAUUUAUCUCGGAACUUUAUGAAAAUAAGGAUGGAACCUUGAGGCAAUAGCAAAAUGCAACAUUAUGAGAUAAAGAACUGCCUAAAUUCGAGAUUUUCUGGAGGUAACAAGUGAAUUUUGGAUAGACACAUAGAUGAACUGACUCGAGUUUGCCUCAGUUAAUCAUGAAAAAUUCAACUGCAAAUUAAUUAAAUCUUUAUAAUACAGCACUAAUAAAAUAAGACCAGAACUCUGUCAAGAGUAGACUGGGACUAUAAGUAUAUUCAGUUAAGGGACAAAAACGCUUGUGUAAGCAUACACGACUGUGCAUUGUGGGCUGAUUUCAGACUCUGAUUAAGCCGACUCUGGGUGCAGGAAAUGACCUGUGGGUAUACAUAGGCCUUUGAUGUACUAAAACUAAAUGUACUAAACAUCCUCCUUUGAUGUACUAAACUGUUACUGAAACCCAAUACCACAAGUAGCUGAAAUUAUAAUGGCUCCAAACUCAGUAAAAAGAAAAGUGUAGAAAACUACAAUGAAAAUCAUAAAGAAAAAUAAUAUCUUUCAUUUUCAAUAAUAGUAGGCUUAUUCAAGGUGAGGACAAAUGCUAAAAAAGGAGUUUGAAACGGUAACUGUAGGCCUACUACGGUAUUAAUAUAUUCUGACUGAAAUGAUAACCUGCUUUAUGUUACGCCCCAAUUAGAGGUAAAACAUUUUUUUUUACAACUGUAGGGAAACCACUGCUAUGUGAGGGAUUUCUCAUAGCUUUGCAGAGGCUAUGCAGCUGCCAAAGUUAUUUUAAGCUCCAUUAUACAGCUCUAUCGAUCCACAGGGAGCUCAUGUACUGUGAUUUUUAAUGCUAUGCUACCCUCUGGUGGCGAAAGCCACUUAUGACAAUGAUUAAAGAUGGCUGAACGAGCUGUGUGAGUCAUCUUCCCAAAUGACAACCACCUUUCUAACUCACCGUGAGCCACUUGUUUCACAGCCCUGGGUGACUGUAAUAUUAACUAGCUAAUGUCUUUCAUGGUGGCAUGAAACUGAUUUGACCGUGGUGGAUAUUUUAAUGUCAAAGCCCUCUAACUCUCUUUCUCCCUUCUAUAUUUCUGGCUGAAUCAUCACAUCACACUCACAGCAUGUUUCCCUUCCCUAUUUUUUGCUGCGUCAGGCUGUCUCUGUGCCAGGUCUUUCCCUAAGGUUUGUCAACUUCUGUUUAGUGCAUCAUAAGAUCAACACCAUAGAGAGAUUUGCUGAAACAUAGCAAUGUGUUAAUUACCACCAAGGGGCGGUUUUCCAGACACAGAUUAAGAUAACUCCUGGACUAAAAAGCCCUUUCAAGAUUCUCCUUGACCAUGCAUUUUAAUCCAGGACUAGGCUUAAUCUCAGUCUGGAAAACCAAACCUUAAGGUAUUUGACAAACUGAUGACAUAUAAAUUACAGUUUUACUUACCAAUCAGGGUGGGGAUCCUGAUCUCAUAAAAUAAUAUGAAUACCUUUUAUAUAAUCUUUAAAACCAAGAUAUUGUAGGUUUCCACUAACAACCAGGGUUGGAAAUGGAGGGGAACCUGGGGGAAAUGGGUUCCCCCUGGGAGAUCGUUUUGACAUGCAGAAAUGUGCAUUUUUAAAUUUCUCUAUCAUUUUGGCAUGCCCUGAACUCAAGGAUUUUACAUUGGAGGGUUCCCAUAGUGAUUUCCCCCCCCCCUUUUCACCCCUGAUAAUAUGCAUAUCUUUUUAUAAUCUUUGAAACCAAGAUACUGUAUAUUUCCACCAACAACAGUCAUGCAUCUACCCUGAGUGCCAGUCUGUUUAAUGUGCUAUUAUGCCAACUCCUUGUCAACACUCAUUGUCAUGCCAAUGACAGCAAUGGAGUUGGCAAGAGCUCAAACAGAUCUGGGACCAGGCUAUCCUGCACCCAGUUCAAGAAGUGGAAAUAUAAUGUGUCUUAUUUUCUUCCAAUGACAGUACACAACUGGUUCUUCUUAACAUUCAUAUGGAAAAGUCUGUUUAUUUGACACCUGUAGACUUUGUUUAUUUAUAUGAAAAGGUGUUACUAAUUCACCCGAUGCGUUGAUAUCACAUGUAUCAAAUGGAAUCCUUCAAAUCAAAAAGUGGGUUAGAUAGAGAUCAAUCCAAAUGCACAACCAAACUUCACAACCAAAAUAAACUGGAAUAUGUGACGUUUGUCAGUCCAGCUUACCUUUGCAAGGUCCACUAGUGAGUUUGCUUGGUCAUUCAGCUUGCGUUGCUCCAUUUUAACACUUCUCAAUCUGAACAGAAGACCAUCCAGAACCCAAUAAAUGUAUCUAUUUGGUAAAGAUGGGUUUAACAGAUCUGUGCACACAGAAGGCAUACACAUAGAGAGCACCCACUCCUAGGACAUGCACAGGAUGUGUGUAGAAAAUGCAGAAAUUGGUUUAAGACAGUUUGAUUGGUUGAGCUGCAUGCAAGUGAAGACCAGAGUAUAGAAGCUGCCAGAGAGGAGAAUGUCUAUUGCUGCAGUAAAUCUUCAGCCCCUGAACUCUACAACAAAGUAGCAUACAAGGGCUCAACUAGGGAGAUAAAAUCGCUUGCAAUGGGAUUUUGCUGAAAUAUAGGAUUAAUAAAGCAGUGUAUUUAAACUAUAAUAAAAAAAGCUUAAUCCAAACACUUGGAGGUUUCUCCAUUUUAUUCUAGUGAAUGAUUUAAUCCCUCAAAAAGCUGCAGAUAGUUCAAGUGACAGUGUUUUUCAAUUUUGAGAAUCAAAACUGUCAAUCUGAGCAAUUCCACCUGAAGUGCCAUGAUAGCCAAACUCUAUAAAAGGGGAUAUUAAUUCAUUUUCAAUUAAAAGUAGCUGAAAAACAAAUACAGCAUUUGUAAAAUAUAAUUAAAUGAUCAAAAAAAUAAGAAGAUUAUAAUACUGAGCUUUAUGUAGUAUACCAGCGCAUAUCUUUGGACUGUGUGAGUGUGUUAUUGAUAAAAGAGAAAAUCCAUCUGGUAUAUUAUGUAAAAUCACCUUAGUUACUGAGUACUGACAGUGAUGUGCUGAAUUGUUACAUAGUGGGAAACUCAUCCAGCUGGCAUGAAGCUUUUCUGUGUUGGUGAUGCAGACUGGUUAAAAAAAUAAAAAGAUACCCCUCUUCAAGA